ACUUAUUUCAAUAUCUCAAAUCAUUGCACGCUUCGUUUAAUCUUGUGUAAGCGGGAUCAUAUGAACUGCCCCUCAGAAAAAUCUACCUAAAUAAGAAAGUUACGUGCUAUGCAGGUUUGAUGUACCACAUCAGACACAAGUUUAUUCGAAAUACACAAAUUACAAAAUAAUAAAAACUUAAUUACAAUUUACAUAUAUUUACUCUCGGUUACAAAAAAAUAUCCCAAAUUUUGUGUGAUUUCGAGGAAAUUAUCCAUUUGGGAUAUUUUUUGAUACAUCCUGUAUAUGCAUUACUCAACUAAAAGCAUGCAGAAAUAAAAUAUCAGGGGUGGGUUACCAGUAACACCAUGCAGGGACAAGACCAAAGAUUAAAAUUAAGAAAUGCAUAUAAUAUCAUGAUUACUAAAAUAUUAAAAACAAAUACUGUAUGUUUGUGUUCUCUUAACAGUUCUCCUGCUUCUCCAGUUCAUAUUGAAUCUUUUUCUUGCAUUCUUAGUUAAUUUCGAAACAUUCUUGGGCCUAUCCACCUCAGUUAAGGCAUUUGCUGUCAGCAUGGACUAAUAAAAGAAAUUAUAUGGUUUAUAAAUGGUUUAGAAAUAUAUAUAUGGUUUAGAAAUAUAUAAAUGAAAUAUAUAAAU
rnacentral:lncRNA from 1 species